rnacentral:rRNA from 1 species
UCGCACGUCAUGUGGGAUUAAAAUGACUCUCGGCAAUGGAUAUCUCGGCUCUCGCAUCGAUGAAGAGCGCAGCGAAAUGCGAUACGUGGUGCGAAUUGCAGAAUCCCGCGAACCAUCGAGUCUUUGAACGCAAGUUGCGCCCGAGGCCAACCGGCCAAGGGCAC